rnacentral:rRNA from 1 species
AUUGAACGCUGGCGGCAGGCCUAACACAUGCAAGUCGAACGGUAACAGGAAACAGCUUGCUGUUUCGCUGACGAGUGGCGAACGGGUGAGUAAUGUCUGGGAAACUGCCUGAUGGAGGGGGAUAACUACUGGAAACGGUAGCUAAUACCGCAUAACGUCGCAAGACCAAAGAGGGGGACCUUCGGGCCUCUUGCCAUCGGAUGUGCCCAGAUGGGAUUAGCUAGUAGGUGGGGUAACGGCUCACCUAGGCGACGAUCCCUAGCUGGUCUGAGAGGAUGACCAGCCACACUGGAACUGAGACACGGUCCAGACUCCUACGGGAGGCAGCAGUGGGGAAUAUUGCACAAUGGGCGCAAGCCUGAUGCAGCCAUGCCGCGUGUAUGAAGAAGGCCUUCGGGUUGUAAAGUACUUUCAGCGGGGAGGAAGGGAGUAAAGUUAAUACCUUUACUCAUUGACGUUACCCGCAGAAGAAGCACCGGCUAACUCCGUG